ensembl:lncRNA
CUUUCACAAGGGAAGGACCUGCAUUCCACCACUCAUUUGAAGUCAUUCUAAUUCUCCAGUUGGAACGUUAUUCGAGAGGAUUGCAUUCUGAUGAAGUUCAUCAAAGGUGUAACGCUUGUCGUCUGGGGAAGGAGAGGAGGACCAAGGUGCAGCGUGGGCCGGAUCGAGGAACGGGAAUGCAGACGCGCUGUCCCGACGCGACCAAGACGGUGCGUCUGGCGCCCGGCCCUCCGGUUCGGUCCUGCGGGGGAAGGUAUGUGGAAGGACCACCAGAGGGCAGGCUGGGCUCACGGAUAGUAGCCCAACAAGGCAUGGGAGACAAGGUAACCAGAGGCAAUUAAGCGCAGCUGACGGUACUAAUGACAUAGUCUCCUUCCCCUAUAAGAGAGAGUAUGGAACCAGCAGAGAAGGGGGGAAAACUAUCUCUGGAAGAUGGCCACCAAGACAGAGGAGCUAUCCAUGAAGAACCACUAAGACGGUGACAAGCCCGUGACUUUUGUUGUAGUUUAAAGAUAAUCCUAUUGUGUUCCUGUUUCAUCUGGAAAAGAAGAUGUUUUUUCUUGGGAGAUUUUCAUUGAUUAUGUUGGAGUGUUUGUGUUGACCAAAUGCCCUCAAUAGAGAACUGUGUGCAAUCAAGAAAACCUACUCCUGACUCGUUUAUUCCACCUUCCCGCUUUAGAGUGAUGCCGAAUUAGUCCGCUCACAGUAC